rnacentral:rRNA from 1 species
GACGAACGCUGGCGGCGUGCUUAACACAUGCAAGUCGAACGGAAAGGCCUGUCCUUCCUUGUGUUGGACGGGUACUCGAGUGGCGAACGGGUGAGUAACACGUGAGUGAUCUGCCCCCAACUUGGGUAUAAGCCUGGGAAACUGGGUCUAAUUCCCGAUAGGACUGCAGGGUGGUGCCUGUGGUGGAAAACGAUUUUCUAGUGGUUGGGGAUGAGCUCGCGGCCUAUCAGCUUGUUGGUGGGGUAAUGGCCUACCAAGGCGGCGACGGGUAGCCGGCCUGAGAGGGUGGACGGCCACAUUGGGACUGAGAUACGGCCCAGACUCCUGCGGGAGGCAGCAGUGGGGAAUAUUGCACAAUGGGCGGAAGCCUGAUGCAGCGACGCCGCGUGGGGGAUGACGGCCUUCGGGUUGUAAACUCCUUUCGACCGCGAGGAAGCCGCCUGGUUGGAAGGGUGGUGACGGUAGUGGUAGAAGAAGCACCGGCUAACUACGUG